AGUCGAGGGGUAAGAUUACUUCGGUAAUCCUAGACCGGCGGACGGGUGCGUAACGCGUAUGCAACUUACCCACUACUAGGGGAUAGCCCGGGGAAACUCGGAUUAAUACCCUAUGGUACUAUUGACUGGCAUCGGUUGAUAGUUAAAGAUUUAUUGGUAGUGGAUGGGCAUGCGUCUGAUUAGUUAGUUGGCGAGGUAACGGCUCACCAAGACGAUGAUCAGUAGGGGGUCUGAGAGGAUGAUCCCCCACACUGGCACUGAGAUACGGGCCAGACUCCUACGGGAGGCAGCAGUAGGGAAUAUUGGUCAAUGGUCGAGAGACUGAACCAGCCAUGCCGCGUGCAGGAAGACGGCCUUCUGGGUUGUAAACUGCUUUUAUCUGGGAAGAAAAGGCCCUUGCGAGGGACAUUGCCGGUACCAGAUGAAUAAGCACCGGCUAACUCCGUGCCAGCAGCCGCGGUAAUACGGAGGGUGCAAGCGUUGUCCGGAUUCAUUGGGUUUAAAGGGUGCGUAGGCGGGUUAUUAAGUCAGUGGUGAAAGCCGGCAGCUCAACUGUCGAACUGCCAUUGAUACUGGUAAUCUUGAAUUCAGUUGAGGUAUGCGGAAUUGAUGGUGUAGCGGUGAAAUGCAUAGAUACCAUCACGAACACCGAUUGCGAAGGCAGCAUACUGGGCUUGAAUUGACGCUGACGCACGAAAGUGUGAGAUCGAACAGGAUUAGAUACCCUGGUAGUCACAUCUGUAA
rnacentral:rRNA from 1 species